AACGAACGCUGGCGGCAUGCCUAACACAUGCAAGUCGAACGAGACCUUCGGGUCUAGUGGCGCAUGGGUGCGUAACGCGUGGGAACCUUCCCUUAGACUCGGAAUUACACCCCGAAAGGGGUGCUAAUACCGGAUAAUGUCUUCGGACCAAAGAUUUAUCGCCCUUGGAUGGGCCCGCGUUGGUUUAGCUUGUGGGUAGGGUAAAAGCCUACCAAGGCGACGCUACAUAGCUGGUCUGAGAGGAUGAUCAGCCACACUGGGACUGAGACACGGCCCAGACUCCUACGCGAGGCAGCAGUGCGGAAUAUUGGACAAUGGGCGAAAGCCUGAUCCAGCAAUGCUGCGUGAGUGAUGAAGGCCGGAGAGUUGUAAAGCUCUUUUACCCGGGACGAUAAUGACAGUACCGGGAGAAUAAGCUCCGGCUAACUCCGUG
rnacentral:rRNA from 1 species